AGAGUUUGAUUAUGGCUCAGGAUGAACGCUAGCUACAGGCUUAACACAUGCAAGUCGAGGGGCAGCAUUGGAGUAGCAAUACUCAGAUGGCGACCGGCGCACGGGUGAGUAACACGUAUCCGAACCUGCCGCUUACUCGGGGAUAGCCUUUCGAAAGAAAGAUUAAUACCCGAUGGUAUAAAGAGUUCGCAUGUUCUCUUUAUUAAAGAAUUUCGGUAAGCGAUGGGGAUGCGUUCCAUUAGAUAGUUGGCGGGGUAACGGCCCACCAAGUCUACGAUGGAUAGGGGUUCUGAGAGGAAGGUCCCCCACAUUGGAACUGAGACACGGUCCAAACUCCUACGGGAGGCAGCAGUGAGGAAUAUUGGUCAAUGGACGAGAGUCUGAACCAGCCAAAGUAGCGUGAAGGAUGACUGCCCUAUGGGUUGUAAACUUCUUUUAUAAGGGAAUAAAGUGAGGGACGUGUCCCUUUUUGUAUGUACCUUAUGAAUAAGGAUCGGCUAACUCCGUGCCAGCCGCCGC
rnacentral:rRNA from 1 species